rnacentral:rRNA from 1 species
CCUACGGGAGGCAGCAGUGAGGAAUAUUGGUCAAUGGACGAGAGUCUGAACCAGCCAAGUAGCGUGAAGGAUGACUGCCCUAUGGGUUGUAAACUUCUUUUAUAUGGGAAUAAAACGUUCCACGUGUGGGAUUUUGUAUGUACCAUAUGAAUAAGGAUCAGCUAACUCCGUGCCAGCAGCCGCGGUAAUACGGAGGAUCCGAGCGUUAUCCGGAUUUAUUGGGUUUAAAGGGAGCGUAGGUGGAUUGUUAAGUCAGUUGUGAAAGUUUGCGGCUCAACCGUAAAAUUGCAGUUGAAACUGGCAGUCUUGAGUACAGUAGAGGUGGGCGGAAUUCGUGGUGUAGCGGUGAAAUGCUUAGAUAUCACGAAGAACUCCGAUUGCGAAGGCAGUUCACUGGACUGCAACUGACACUGAGGCUCGAAAGUGUGGGUAUCAAACAGGAUUAGAUACCCCGGUAGUC